AACGAACGCUGGCGGCAUGCCUAACACAUGCAAGUCGAACGAGACCUUCGGGUCUAGUGGCGCACGGGUGCGUAACGCGUUGGAACAUGCCCUUGGGUUCGGAAUAACUCCCCGAAAGGGGUGCUAAUACCGGAUAAUGUCUUCGGACCAAUGAUUUAUCGCCUUUGGAUGUGCCCGCGUUGGAUUAGCUAGUUGGUAGGGUAAUAGCCUACCAAGGCGAGGAUGCAUAGCUGGUUUGAGAGGAUGAUCAGCGACACUGGGACUGAGACACGGCCGAGACUCCUACGGGAGGCAGCAGUGGGGAAUAUUGGACAAGGGGCGAAGGGCUGAUGCAGCAAUGCCGCGUGAGUGAUGAAGGCCUUGGGGUUGUAAAGCUCUUUUACCCGGGAUGAUAAUGACAGUACCGGGAGAAUAAGCUCCGGCUAACUACGUG
rnacentral:rRNA from 1 species